UACAGAGGGUGCGAGCGUUGUUCGGAAUUAUUGGGCGUAAAGCGCGUGUAGGCGGCUUAGCAAGUCGGGUGUGAAAGCCCUCAGCUUAACUGAGGAAGUGCGCCCGAAACUGCUGAGCUUGAGUACCGGAGAGGAUGGUGGAAUUCCCCAAGUAGAGGUGAAAUUCGUAGAUAUGGGGAGGAACACCGGUGGCGAAGGCGACCAUCUGGACGGAUACUGACGCUGAGGCGCGAAAGCCAGGGGAGCAAAGCGGGG
rnacentral:rRNA from 1 species